UGCUGAAAUAAAAGUUAACUAUAAACAUGCGAGUCAGCUUACGAAAUUAACAUUUAUAAUGAUAAUAAAAUGAUUUUCAUUUUAUACAAUAGAUUCUUUGUAUGCUUUUAUAUCGUAGAUGCUUGCAUAUUAAUGAUCAAUAUCUCUUUUAUAAUUUUGUAUCAUUAAUAUCAAUUCAGCUUUGUUACGUGUUAUAUUUAUCAAAAGUAUAAAGACGAUUAUGAAUCGAAACAACAUAAUCUUCUGAUAAAACUUUAAAAUACAAACGUAUCUUUUCUUAAUCAUUUAUCUUGUAUUAAUCUUAUUUAUGUUACAAUGAUUAUCUUCGUUUUGACGCCUAUCUCUACAAUAUAACGAUGAAAGUUUUUCCAUUGCGAACACUUGUGCGGAGAUAAAUAAUGUUAUUUUUGCAAAAAUUGAUAUAAAAACAUAAUAAUUGUACUGAUUAAAUGAUUUUAUAAUUAUAUACCAUAGUUGGAAGUCUUCUCCAAUAACUCCAGUAUUCAAACUAAAUAUUCAUGCAUUAAUCAUAUGAAAAUCGCAAAAAAAAAAGAAAAUAAGACGUUAUAAAACUGUAACGUUUUUUAUCUGAUAGUGUUAUUUAACGAGCGAUCGCAGGAUAGGCAUCGACUAUUCAAGUCCUGCUAUACUUGUAUUACUGUUGAGACCACCAAGAACAUAACCUCACUAAAACGGUUCUGCAGAUUAUUUUUCCAAUCUCAAUGGGGCUUCUUAAAGACAAAAAUCCGACAUGGUCAAUUCGUGAAAGUUUGUAAACAUUAUUAAACAUGACUGUGGUUAAAAAUAAUACAACCAAACAAUGAGUUAAA